CGACGAGUUCUCGUUGAUGAUCGGUGCUUGCACCGAGAUUCAACAUGGAACGAGUGGCGGACGGGUGAGUAACACGUGGGUAACCUGCCCUUAAGUGGGGGAUAACAUUUGGAAACAGAUGCUAAUACCGCAUAGAUCCAAGAACCGCAUGGUUCUUGGCUGAAAGAUGGCGUAAGCUAUCGCUUUUGGAUGGACCCGCGGCGUAUUAGCUAGUUGGUGAGGUAAUGGCUCACCAAGGCGAUGAUACGUAGCCGAACUGAGAGGUUGAUCGGCCACAUUGGGACUGAGACACGGCCCAAACUCCUACGGGAGGCAGCAGUAGGGAAUCUUCCACAAUGGACGCAAGUCUGAUGGAGCAACGCCGCGUGAGUGAAGAAGGCUUUCGGGUCGUAAAACUCUGUUGUUGGAGAAGAAUGGUCGGCAGAGUAACUGUUGUCGGCGUGACGGUAUCCAACCAGAAAGCCACGGCUAACUACGUGCCAGCAGCCGCGGUAAUACGUAGGUGGCAAGCGUUAUCCGGAUUUAUUGGGCGUAAAGCGAGCGCAGGCGGUUUUUUAAGUCUGAUGUGAAAGCCCUCGGCUUAACCGAGGAAGCGCAUCGGAAACUGGGAAACUUGAGUGCAGAAGAGGACAGUGGAACUCCAUGUGUAGCGGUGAAAUGCGUAGAUAUAUGGAAGAACACCAGUGGCGAAGGCGGCUGUCUGGUCUGUAACUGACGCUGAGGCUCGAAAGCAUGGGUAGCGAACAGGAUUAGAUACCCUGGUAGUC
rnacentral:rRNA from 1 species